rnacentral:rRNA from 1 species
CGUGUAGGCGGUCUCGUAUGUCUGACGUGAAAGCCCCGGGCUUACCCCGGGAAGUGCGUUGGAAACUGCGAGACUAGAGUCCCGGAGAGGAAGGUGGAAUUCCAGGUGUAGCGGUGAAAUGCGUAGAUAUCUGGAAGAACACCGGUGGCGAAGGCGGCCUUCUGGACGGUGACUGACGCUGAGACGCGAAAGCGUGGGGAGCAAACAGGAUUAGAUACCCUGGUAGUCCACGCCAUAAACGAUGAGCACUAGGUGUCGCGGGUAUUGACCCCUGCGGUGCCGCAGCUAACGCAUUAAGUGCUCCGCCUGGGGAAUACGGCCGCAAGGCUAAA